UACGGAGGGUGCGAGCGUUGUCCGGAAUCAUUGGGCGUAAAGGGCGCGUAGGUGGCCCGGUCAGUCUUUGGUGAAAGCGCGGGGCUCAACCCUGCGUCGGCCAGGGAUACUGCCGCGGCUCGAGCACUGUAGAGGCAGGCGGAAUUCCGGGUGUAGCGGUGAAAUGCGUAGAUAUCUGGAGGAACACCGGUGGCGAAGGCGGCAUCCUGGACCGGCAUUGACGCUGAGGCGCGAAAGCCAGGGGAGCAAACGGG
rnacentral:rRNA from 1 species